GAACUUGGGACCGGGAGAGGCAAGAGGUACGUUCUGGGGUAGGGGGUAAAAAUCCUGUAAUCCUAGAAGGACCACCGGUGGCGAAGGCGUCUUGCUAGAACGGAUCCGACGGUGAGGGACGAAGCCCUGGGUCGCAAACGGGAUUAGAUACCCCGGUAGUCCAGGGUGUAAACGCUGCAGACUUGGUGUUGGGAACCCUUCGGGGGUGCUCAGUGCCGGAGAGAAGUUGUUAAGUCUGCUACUUGGGGAGUACGUCCGCAAGGAUGAAACUUAAAGGAAUUGGCGGGGGAGCACCGCAACGGGAGGAAGCGUGCGGUUUAAUUGGAUUCAACGCCGAAAAACUCACCAGCAGCGACUGUUACAUGAAAGUCAGGUUGAUGACCUUACUAGAUUUUCAGAGGAGUGGUGCAUGG
rnacentral:rRNA from 1 species